rnacentral:lncRNA from 1 species
GCGACAGGGUAUACUGCUCCUCUACUAAUGUAAAAAUUAAAUAAUCGAAUUACAAAUUUUUGUACAAAUUUUAUUACACUCCUUUGAGACUCCAUAGAAUGAAAACAGACAUUUCUCCUAACUGUAAAAGAUGUACCUCUGAAAGUGGAACCUAUAUGCAUGUAUUUUGGAGCUGUAGAGAGAUUGCCAAAAUCUGGCAAUCUAUACAUACUGCUGCACAGAAAAUACUAGAUGUACAGUUUGAUAUGACCCCGUGUAUUUAUCUUCUUAAUGCCCAGCAGGACUUUGUUCUUGAUCCUGAGAGAGAAAAUUUGCUGAUGACUAUUACAUACUUUGCUAAGAAAUGUAUUCUUGUAUUGUGGGCCUCUAAUACCUCUCCUACAUUUAAAAUGUGGAUUGACCAGAUUGUUGACUUUCUCCCUCUUGAAAAGCUCACUUAUGACCUCAGCAAGAGACAGCCCAAGUUUGAUAGACUCCGGUCUCCACUACUCAACUAUAUUUCAAAUUGGACAGAGUGAAUGGGGUGAUUAGGGAAAUGAGCAGAUACAUGUUGUGUAAGGUGCUGUAAAAUCUAAAAACUAAUUAUUUGCUCGUCGUCUCAGCUUAGGGUGGAAAUAACCUUGAUAGUGCUGCUGCUAGAUAGAUAGAUAGAUAGAUAGAUAGAUAGAUAGAUAGAUAGAUAGAUAGAUAGAUAGAUAGAUAGAUAGAUAGAUAGAUAGAUAGAUAGAUAGAUAGAUAGAUACACACACACACAUUUUUUAUAUAUAUACAGUGCAUUCGGAAAGUAUUCAGACCCCUUGACUUUUUCCAAAUGUUGUUACGUUACAGCCUUAUUCUAAAAUGGAUUAAAUAAAAUAAAAAUAUCAAUCUACACACAAAACCCCAUAAUGACAAAGCGAAAAACAGGUUUUUAAAUGGUUUGCAAAUUUAGUAAAAACAAAAAACAGAAAUACGUUAUUUACAUAAGUAAUAAGACCCUUGCCUAUGAGACUCGAAAUUGAGUUUAGGUGCAUCCUGUUUCCAUUGAUCAUCCUUGAGAUGUUUCUACAACUUGAUUGGAUUGGACAUGAUUUGGAAAGGCACACACCUGUCUAUAUAAGGUCCCACAGUUGGCAAUGCAUGUCAGAGCAAAAACCAACUCAUGAGGUUGAAGGAAUAGUCCAGAGAGCUCUGAGACAGUAUUGUGUCGAGGCACAGAUCUGGGGAAGGGUACCAAAAGUUUCUGCAGCAUUGAAGGUCCCCAAGAACACAGUGGUCUCCAUCAUUCUUAAAUGGAAGAAGAUUGGAACCAACAAGACUCUUCCUAGAGCUGGCUGCCCGGCCAAACUGAGCAAUCUGAGGAGAAGGGCCUUGAUCAGGGAGGUGACCAAGAACCCGAUGGUCACUCUGACAGAGCUCCUCUGUGGAGAUGGGAGAACCUUCCAGAAGGACAUCCAUCUCUGCAGCACUCCACCAAUCAGGCCUUUAUGGUAGAGUGGCCAGAUGGAAGCCACUCCUCAGUAAAAGGCACCUAAAGGACUCUCAGACCAUGAGAAACAAGAUUCUCUGGUCUGAUGAAACCAAGAUUUAACUAUUUGGCCUGAAUGCCAAUUGUCACGUCUGGAGGAAACCUGGCACCAUCCCUACGUUGAAGCAUGAUGGUGGUGGCAAGCAUUUCUCUACACCUGCAAUAUAUGUGUAUGUGACCAAUAAAAUUUGACUUUGAUUUGGCAGCAUUAUGCUGUGGGGAUGUUUUUCAGCAGCAGGGACUGGAAGACUAGUCAGUAUCGAGGCAAAUAUGAAUGGAGCAAAGUACAGAGAGAUCCUUGAUGAAAACCUGCUCAGGACCUAAGACUGGGGCGAAGGUUCACCUUCCAAAACGACAGCGACCCGAACAACACAGCCAAGAUAACGCAGGAGAGGCUUCGGGACAAGUCUCUUAAUGUCCUUGAGUGAUCCAAUCAGAGCCUGUACUUGAACCCGAUUGAACAUCUCUGAAGAUGUUCCCCAUCCAACCUGACAGAACUUGACAGGAUCUACAGAGAAGAAUGGGAGAAACUCCCAAAUACAAAAAAACAGCUGUUUUUGCUUUGUCAUUAUGGGGUAUUGUCUGUAGAUUGAUGAGGGGGAAAAACUAUUCAAUCAAUUUUAAAAUGAGGCUGUAACAUAACAAAAUGUGGAAAAAGUCAAGGUCUGAAUACUUUCCGAAUGCACUAAUGUGAAAGUCCAGAAAUGGAUGCACCAAUUGCAUCUUUAAAGCAACACAAAAUGUUGUCAGUAUUUUGUGAUAUUACAGAACACCCAGACUGACACAUUAUCCAGAGAUAUGGCUCAUUAGAGACUAUAAAGAUGCUAGUUUUAAGCUUAUCAUCAGUUAACAUACCAGAUUUCUCAACAAUAGGCUAUGGAAAUACCCAGAAUUCACAUUAUGUUGAGAGGGUUGGGCUUCUUUCCUCUGGGCUGGAUAAAGGUUCAACACCUGGAAAGGAUGGAAUGGAGAGGGGAGGAAUGAUCGCUGAGAUCAGAGAUGAAUCCUGUUUUCACCCAGAUGUAAGUGUUGCCCGGCACCAGUUCAGGGAAGCUGCAGUGGUCGGGUAAUGUGUGGUACAGAGGGGAAGGCAGGGCGUUGACAUUGCCACGUGAGGCCUGCACAGACAUGGCGUUUAGCAUCACGAUGGACCGCUCGUUCAUCUUCAUAGACACAGUCUCCACUGUCCCU